UACGGGGGGGGCAAGCGUUGUUCGGAAUUACUGGGCGUAAAGGGUUCGUAGGUGGCCAACUUAGUCAGACGUGAAAUCCCUCAGCUUAACUGGGGAACUGCGUCUGAUACUGGAUGGCUCGAGUGCAGGAGAGGAACGCGGAAUUCCAGGUGUAGCGGUGAAAUGCGCAGAUAUCAGGAGGAACACCGGUGGCGAAGGCGGUUCUCUGGGCAUUACCUGACGCUGAGGAGCGAAAGUGUGGGGAGCGAACAGG
rnacentral:rRNA from 1 species